ACUACCAUAUCAUCCGCAAA
rnacentral:misc_RNA from 1 species